rnacentral:lncRNA from 1 species
GAUGGUGAUUUCUGUGAUGUGAACACCUGUCCUCUAGGAACUGGGCGAAGGCGACCAAACAGUUGUCAGAUGAGAGUGGACUGGAAUUAGUGUUUGUGGACCUGAAAACAGAAGAGAGAUGUUCACAGCUUGCAUGUGGAAAAUGCAUCUACUCCCCAGAGCAGAGCAUGAGAAGAUGGCUGAGAAUGCACAAACAGCACUGCAAGGAUUAUGACAUCACACUGGGAGAAGCACUAAGAAAGGAAAUACAAACCAUAGACCUGCACUGAGUUGUGAGAUCUCAUGAAGGCAGAGACAAGAAAUUAGAAUUUGUUCUCAGGAACACUUUGGAGGAAAUAGUUUAAAAAGAGGGUUUAACUAGAUAAUGUUGGCAGUGGGGCUGUGAAUGGGAUGAAUUGGGUACAAGUUGAAAAGAAGGCAGAAAGGAAGGGGUAACAGAGCGGGGAUGUGGUUAUUGAAGAAAAAAGGAAAUAAUUUCUCGAGACAGAGGCAGAAAAGUGUUUGUGACAGGCUGGAAGUCUGGAAGAAAUAAAAGAAAGUUUGGAAAUGGUCUUGUUAUGGCAUGAACAGUGGUAGGGGUCCACAUAUACAGAGGAAUGCAGAGGCAGGAAGAAAAUUUCAAAACACUUGCUUUUAGCAAUGUGUUUAAUCUAAUGACAAUCAUCUACCAGAAAGACAUGUACAGAGAUUCAUGGGAAAAAUGGAGAAGUAAACUUGUUAGCUGUCAGCGCUAAGAUAAAUCCUAAAGACAGACCAGUCUAAAGCCACUUGGGUGUACAUGUACAUACACCAACUGCUGGGAUUAGGAGUGGGCCCUGCUGCCACUUCUUCCCAAAUCCCAUACCCCAACCCUUCUCCAGAGGUACUGUAACUAUUCAAAGGCAUGGAGCAAGAGCUGGUGCUUCCGAGCGACAAAAGGUAGAUCUGAUGAACUGCUCCACUCAAAGGGCCAGGCCUCAUCUUUGCCCUGUCCUUCCCAC